rnacentral:ncRNA from 1 species
GCAAUUUAGAGUCUGUUAGAAUUUUGUCAUAAGUCAGCAAUUCCCGUACAUGGAAGUACGGGAAAGUUGGAAUCGCACCCGGACGGUGCGUUUCCAACGGUUGCGUCCGGCUUAGGAACCCUGAAUUCAAAAUUCUUAUAGCCUCUUAAUUGC